rnacentral:rRNA from 1 species
UACAGAGGGUGCAAGCGUUGUUCGGAAUUAUUGGGCGUAAAGGGCGCGUAGGCGGCUCUGCACGUCCGUUGUGAAAUCGCCCGGCUCAACUGGGCGGGGUCAGCGGAUACGGCAGAGCUUGAGCAAGCUAGGGGGCAAUGGAAUUCCCGGUGUAGUGGUGGAAUGCGUAGAUAGUCGGGAGGAACACCAGUGGCGAAGGCGGUUGCCUGGGGCUUUGCUGACGCUGAUGCGCGAAAGCGUGGGGAGCGAUCCGG